GACGAACGCUGGCGGCGUGCCUAAUACAUGCAAGUUGAGCGCUGAAGGUUGGUACUUGUACCGACUGGAUGAGCAGCGAACGGGUGAGUAACGCGUGGGGAAUCUGCCUUUGAGCGGGGGACAAAAUUUGGAAACGAAUGCUAAUACCGCAUAAAAACUUUAAAAACAAGUUUUAAGUUUGAAAGAUGCACUUGCAUCACUCAAAGAUGAUCCCGCGUUGUAUUAGCUAGUUGGUGAGGUAAAGGCUCACCAAGGCGAUGAUACAUAGCCGACCUGAGAGGGGGGUCGGCCACAGUGGGACUGAGACACGGCCCAAACUCCUACGGGAGGCAGCAGUAGGGAAUCUUCGGCAAUGGACGAAAGUCUGACCGAGCAACGCCGCGUGAGUGAAGAAGGGUUUCGGAUCGUAAAACUCUGUUGGUAGAGAAGAACGUUGGUGAGAGUGGAGAGCUCAUCAAGUGACGGUAACUACCCAGAAAGGGACGGCUAACUACGUG
rnacentral:rRNA from 1 species